GGGGCAUGAAAGAGGUGAUGGGCGGAGUGUGGCCGCAGUAUCGGUAUAUAAGACAGGCUGGGAUGGGUAGCCGUCAUUCGCAUCCCAGUUACUCCUUCAUUCACUCCCCUCACUCACACAAGAAUUCGUAGUCAUGAGGUGCCUACUUAUGGUGGUCUGCCUGGCUGUCAUGGCGGUCGUGGCUCAGGCUUGCUUAGGCGGCGCAUUUGGUUCUGGAUGGUGCAGUGGUGGUUAUGGCGGCUAUGGCAGACACGGUGGACUUGGUGGCUUUGGUAUUGGAGGCGGCCAUGGCAGAUAUGGCGGAUAUAGCGGACUUGGCGGACUUGGCGGCGGCUUUGGUUUUGGAGGCGGCCAUGGUGGGUAUCACGGCGGAUAUGGCAGUACUGGCUAUUAUGGCGGGUUUGGAGCCGGCUUUGGAGGCGGCCAUGGUUGAUUUCACGGCGGUUAUGGCGGUAGAUAUGGUGGUUACGAUCAUGGUGGGUAUGGUGGUUGAUAUGGUGGCUAUACGUAUGGAAAGUAAGGCACCAUACAACACACACACCAUGUCGCGACACCCCUACACACCAUAACUAUGUGAAAGAUACACCCACUCCUGUGUUCGACAUGUAAGGAAUCAAAUAAAGUAUUUCACUAUUUAUGUUUUC